CCUUCCUUUCUUCCCAUCAGUUCCACCUAUCAUUCCUCGCAUUUUCCUGCAAUUAAAUUUAAAUUGUAUUUGUUCACAUUCCCGUCUGCCUGCACAGAAUUGUCUCCUGCUGUUACUGUUAUUUACAUUACCCAGGUGACAUACUGAUGAAAACAUACUCAGAGCAUAGACCUCUCUACCUACUCCAGAGUAACAGUGUCAACAAUAAUCUACAGUCAACCAACAGGACAAAAUACUAUCAUGUAGUAUGAGCAUUUACAAAAUGUAUUUUUAAGGACCGUUCUUUUGUAAUUCCCUCAGUAACAAAACAGCUAUAAAUUCUGACCUUCACUUCCUCCUGUCUCCAGGUACCUGCCCUUCCUGUUCAUCUCAGCUCUUGUUCUGAACUCACCACAAUACUCUGAAAAACCAGAUUUCCAUCCCUGUUUUACAUUCUUCUGUUGGAAUUGUUCUUCCACUGUAUAAUCUGCAACUGAAAAUUCACUCCCGUGAAUCAAGUUUUGUUAGACAAGAGGAGUUCCCAAGGAAACAGUGGUGGUGUAACCUGGUUUUAUAUAUCACCACAAAAUGUCUUUCACUAAGGGUCUCAUUAUACUUACUCCCAUUUCCUUCCUCAUAGCAACUACAAGAGUAAAUGAGUUGGUAGAUUCAUCAUUCAAGCAUGCUAAGUGUAAUUCUUUCCUGAAAAGUUGAAACAUUUACUUGGAAAACAUCUUUAUGUAGCUGACAUGAAAGGAACUUCAAAGUAUUCUCUUAUGGAUCAGUGAAUGGAGAGAAUGCUAAACAUGUUCUUGGCUGAAAACCUUCAGUACUCAGACGCUUGAUGGAUCAACUCAGAUGUACAACCGGCAAGAAAUGUGCCCUGUAGGACUCUUCCUGGAGGCAUUUUGCCUCAAAUUCCUGUUGAGAAAGGACAAAACUUUACACUGUAAUAAUUUGUGACUCCCUGUACUAUAGGGAAAGUCCUAUACUGAAUGCUAUCAAACCAUCGUGGACUGGUUUACUCGUGCAGUCUUGGUUCUUUCCCAGUUUUCUCCUAUCCAAACUGAGAAAGAUAAUUAUAUUGUAUAAUGUCACCUACGUUUUCUUUUGGUUUCUUUCAGGAGGAUUUUCCUUACUCUAUAUGUGUUUAUUUUCUACUCCAAGUAAAUUUCUUUUAGUUGGAUACUUGUGCACGAGUGAUUUGAAGAAUGCUAGGUA